rnacentral:tRNA from 1 species
UUCCUUCAAGCUAGGCUGGUAAAGCAUCUGCCUGCAAUGCGGGAGACCUGGGUUCGAUUCCUGGGUUGGGAA